rnacentral:rRNA from 1 species
GUAGGUGGCAAGCGUUGUCCGGAAUUAUUGGGCGUAAAGCGCGCGCAGGCGGUUCUUUAGGUCUGAUGUGAAAGCCCACGGCUCAACCGUGGAGGGUCAUUGGAAACUGGAGAACUUGAGUACAGAAGAGGAAAGCGGAAUUCCACGUGUAGCGGUGAAAUGCGUAGAGAUGUGGAGGAACGCCAGUGGCGAAGGCGGCUUUCUGGUCUGUAACUGACGCUGAGGCGCGAAAGCGUGGGGAGCAAACAGGAUUAGAUACCCUGGUAGUCCACGCCGUAAACGAUGAGUGCUAAGUGUUAGGGGGUUUCCGCCCCCCUUAGUGCUGCAGCUAACGCAUUAAGCACUCCGCCUGGGAGUACGGCCGCAAGGCUG